AUUAACAGUGUUUUUAACAGUGUUUUUGUUCUUUCACAUUCUUUAAUUUUUCAAUUGUUAACGCGAUCAACAUAAUUCCAGCAGAUUUUGAAGGAGAAGAGCAGCUCGCGCCGCUUCGAUUGUGGCGCCGAGAUCAUAACUCAAGCAGAGGAAAGUUCUCCAACCUUCCCCCUUCCAAGAAGUUGCAAACGUUGUCAUCUCUUUUUGACACCAAAUGGAAAGUUUCCCGGAUGAUCUGCUGCUGCAUGUCCUCCGUCUGCAAGAGAAGACGUCAAUCAGACCCAACGCUCAGAGAAUGCAUUCAAGUCUCCUCUGAACACUCACUGGAGGAAAACUGGACUGAGAGGAGGCAGUGGAGGCAACAGGUUCUCACUUUGAUGGAGAUGAAACCAGAGGAAUGAAUGAAGCUGCAGAGGAGUUUGGUGUAAAAUAAAAAUCCAGAGUCAAGAAAAACAUAAAGAAAACUCCUGGACUGAUAAAAAGUUGGAUUGUUUCUUUUUCUGUUCAUAUAAAAAAAAAUUAUAUAAAAUUGCAAGAACUGUGGAUAUUCCGAGUACUGUAUUAAUGUACAGUACAUCAUGUUCCUAACAAAAACUUCAAAAUUCACCCCCUGAUCAUGUGACAUAAUGACAACAAUGGCGGCUACAGUGCUGAAAUGUGAUCCAUCUGAAAGGCAAAUGUGGAGAAGCCUCCUCUGAUUUAAAACCCUUUAGAAAAACUCAAAUAUGUAUUGAUAGUUAUGUUUAUUUUGAAUUGAUUUCCAAU